UACGUAGGGGGCAAGCGUUGUCCGGAAUCAUUGGGCGUAAAGAGCGCGUAGGCGGCCCGAUAAGUCCGCUGUGAAAGUCAAGGGCUCAACCCUUGAAUGCCGGUGGAUACUGUCGGGCUAGAGUCCGGAAGAGGCGAGUGGAAUUCCUGGUGUAGCGGUGAAAUGCGCAGAUAUCGGGAGGAACACCAAUGGCGAAGGCAGCUCGCUGGGACGGUACUGACGCUGAGGCGCGAAAGCAUGGGGAGCGAACAGG
rnacentral:rRNA from 1 species